GCGCCCGUAGUUCAAUUGGAUAGAACGGUGGACUCCGGCUCCGCAGGUUGCGCGUUCGAAUCGCGCCGGGCGCG
rfam:Candidate division WOR_3 bacterium SM23_42 WORSMTZ_905, whole genome shotgun sequence.